rnacentral:lncRNA from 10 species
CGAGCUAUAACCAAUCCAGCCAUUCUGUAGCUCACUUCUGAUUUCUGUACAUCAUUUCCUUUUUUUUGGUCUAUAAAUCUUCUUCCACCACGUGGCUGCACUGGAGUCUCUGUGAAUCUGCUGUGAUUCUGGAGCUGCCCAAUUCACCAAUUGUUCAUUGCUCAAUUAAAUUCCUUUAAAUUUCAUUUGGCCAAAGUUUUUCUUUAAUCAGAUGGUGUCAGAAGCAGCAACUGAAGUAGAGCUUCUGGCGACCCCCAGGAGCACUGAGUGAACAAGCAAGGUACCUGCAGGACCCAUUUGUGUCCACUGAUGUCUCAGAGUAGCUGGGGAUCAUGACCUGAAUAGAGGAAGGAAAAGCAUGUGGAAGCUGGAUAGAGUGAAAGAACUUGUGCUUUGGGGCGAGAGAGUCUGUGUCCCAUCCUGGAUCAUUCCCUGACCACAUGGCCUUAGGUUUGGGAGCCUCCUGGACUAAGCCAUACU